GGACCCGUAGCUCAGCAUGGAUAGAGCGAUGGCCUUCUAAGCCGUAGGUCGGGGGUUCAAAUCCCCCCGGGUCCG
rnacentral:tRNA from 1 species